CAAAUCGAGAGAGAGCAACAACCGAGAUCCGGUGGGCGUGGUAGGUUCCGUGUCACCGCCGCUGUAGCGAACCAUACCUUCAGCCCCACGCCCCUCAUCACCUUUGUGGAGCUCGCCGCCUACUCCUUCCUCCACGUAAUUCACCCCACCCGCAUCCUCCCCAUCCACGGUUGUCAAGUGAAUAAAGAGAGAGCAGGAUCUCUUCCCCCUCUCCUACAGCUGCUGCCACCAUGGGCGCAUCCGCACGGACGGGAGGCGACGAGGCACACCAACGGCGACG
rnacentral:lncRNA from 1 species